rnacentral:tRNA from 1 species
GCCGAAGUGGCGAAAUUGGUAAACGCAGUUGACUCAAAAUCAACCUCCUUAUGGUAUGCCGGUUCAAGUCCGGCCUUCGGCACUA